GCAAAGAUUCUCGAUUUGGUCAAUGGUAUCAUUCGAAUCGAGGUAUCGUUUUAGCUUAGCCGAGAGAGUCUCUUCAAAUUAAGAUAUCAACUUGUCCGAGAAUGCAGAAAACAACCUUUCUUUUUAUCGUCAUAUUUUGUCAGGUAUUAAAGACAUGUUUUACGUGUACUGAUCUACAAAGAACAAUCACCUAUGUUCCGGAUUGCCCUCGUUCUGAAGCAGAGUGGAAUGUAGCAGCUAUACGUAAGAAAUGUGACUCCGUCUGUCCCACAUCAAGGUAUCACUGUCUCAUCACCAAGGAGAUGAAUGCUAUCAUAGAAGUCUGCGCUGUACCGAUGUUCAUGCAAGGUAAUUAAGAAUAGACUGUAUAUAAGACCAGUAAUAAAUUUCAUC